rnacentral:sRNA from 1 species
CACGUGCUGUGUUAUGGUCGAUGGCUCCUGGGGGUGCUGCCCCAUGCCCCAGGCUUCCUGCUGUGAAGACAGGGUGCACUGCUGUCCACAUGGUGCCUUCUGCGACCUAGUUCACACCCGCUGCAUCACACCCACGGGCACCCACCCCCUGGCAAAGAAGCUCCCUGCCCAGAGGACUAACAGGGCAGUGGCCUUGUCCAGCUCAGUCAUGUGUCCGGAUGCACGGUCCCAGUGCCCUGAUGGUUCUACCUGCUGUGAGCUGCCCAGUGGGAAGUAUGGCUGCUGCCCAAUGCCCAAUGCCACCUGCUGCUCCGAUCACCUGCACUGCUGCCCCCAAGACACUGUGUGUGACCUGAUCCAGAGUAAGUGCCUCUCCAAGGAGAACGCUACUACGGACCUCCUCACUAAGCUGCCUGCGCACACAGGUACCAGAGGCAGGGCGCAGAUACAGGGGUAGGGCCCCCUUUCCUCCCUUUUAGGCCUGGCCUUAGGAUCACUGCAAGGUGGCGUAAGCGGUACCCUCCAUCUUCAACACCUGGUUGCAGCUGUGGAGCUGGCAAAG